UGUUUUCUUAUGUCACUUCUGAUUCUAUGCUCUAAAGGUGUUUGCAUAUACCUUCACUACAGCCCUACUGCACAGUCUAGUGGUGUCUGUGUCUGUUUCUAACAGGAAUUCAGAGUAGGUGACUGAGAAUUUAAAGCUGAAGGCCAUGGCAUAAGACGUGGACUAUUUCAAAAUAUCUACUGUUUGCUUUUUCAGCUGAAGGUAGUCUACUAGUCUACCUUUUCAACUGAAAGCAAUUGAGCCAAAUGUGAUGGCUGGAAUCAUCAACCACCUUAUGACUACCCAGUUGGGUAGCUGUAACAUGAUAAAGGAGGUUGUCACCAUACAUUCUGGAGCAGAGGUUCUCAACCUUGAUGGCACAUGAGUGUGCCUGUAGUUUAUCAGCCCAACCCUACAACCAUCUCUAGGAGUAGAGCCAAGUCAUCAGGGUUGCCAAAAAGAUCUUCAUCUGAUUCCAAAGUACAGCCAAGCAAUCACUCUUCUAGAAAUAGCUAUCAUCUGCCAACAAAAAGGGUGAUUGGGAACUAAUUCAUGAAACACAUUUUAUGCUUUAUUUCUUGCUAACAAAAUAAAUAUCCUAGAUGAAAAAUUUAUCCUUUAUAAAUCUAAGUUACCAUGAGAAAAUUUGACCAAGCCUGAUUCUGGUUUCUGUCAAAAUUAGGUACAUAAUAUAAAUAGAACAAAGUUUAAACACUGCUCUCUCACAUGAGCUCGGAGGUAGAUAAUAUGUCUUUGUGAUAAAAGAAUACUACAUUUAACAUUUAUAAUUCAUUUUCACUGCCAUGAAAGAUAAAUUGCUCAAUCACUGGUAAUUCUAAGUUUCUUGACUUUUAUAUUAGGUGAUAGAAAACCAGUGUGAGUGUCUGGUUCCCAAAACCCUUCUCUUAUAAUCUGCUUCUUUUCUUUUUUCCCCUCCUAUGAAAGUUUGGUGUUGAGGAUUAAGAUUUAUAAAGAAGUGGAUCUAGAAAUAUCUAACAUUUUUAAGGAACAGUAGGUGUUUAAAAUAGCCAGUGUCUUAUGCCAUGGCCUUCAGCUUUAAAUUCUUAGUCAAUGUUUAAAAAGGCAUGACUUGUGUAAAUGUCCGAGUAUUUAUCUUUUUAUUCAAGCCCAGAAGUGUUUUUUCUACUUUUUGGAAAGAGACAUGGUAGAGAUGUUUGCUAUUUAGAACACUUCUUGCUGGUAAGAAAGCCUCCAAGUUUAGAAUGGAGCAAAGAAAGACCCCAGAGAAUUGAUAUCAUAGAGCUGUAAAGCAGGCAAAAAAAAAAAAAAAAAAAGAAAAAGAAAAGAAAAACACUAGUUGCAGACAUCACUUUAAAAUGAGAGGAUAAAUUGGCUUUGUCAGAUUUGAUGGAUGUGCCAUAAAUGGAAAGCCAGAUUUGUCUCCUAGAAAAUAACGAUUAGUCUUUGGUUGGUAACUACCUUCUGUGAAAUACAUUUCUCUUUUUUAAAAAAUUGAAUAUAAGGCCAAUGGUCUGGGCAGGAUAUUGGGAGGGUUGACCUCACUGAUUCUAACCGUUUGAUUGAUGACCGCCCAAUCACUUUGUCUUUACAGUGGUAGAAAAGGACAUUGCUCCCUCACUCCUCUAGACACUAUGUUAAUUAAUUCAUUAGUCUGAUAAAUCUACUGAUGUUACCCUUAUUUUCUGGAAGAGCAAGGAGACAUAAAUCUAGAAAUAGUCUCAAAACUGAGCUGAGAGAUUCUUUUUAUAAAGUAGCAUCCCUCCUGCAUAGCCAGACAAUGAUAAAAAAGAAGAGUCCUGCUUUAUUUGAAAGAAAUAGAAUAUAUUCCCUUUUAUUAUAAUGUAAAAUAUUUUGAUUCCUUCUUUCCUGGAGAAGUUAGAAAUCUAUCAAGAUUCCAGAGGUUUUCUGUUUUCAGUGCUGAUUGUGAACAUAAUCAAGAAGUUUAAAAGGCUCUGCAUAGAAAGGAUCUCUCCUUGCCCACUCAACUUUAGACCCCUCCCUCCAUCACAUCAGACAUACAGCAUGUUU
rnacentral:lncRNA from 1 species